UUCUUGUAUUUCAAAACGAAUAACAAAGAAUGAGGUUGCAGAGAAACUUUCCGUUUAUCACGUAUAUUUAUGGUAUGUAGAUGUUUGUAUGUGGCUUUCACGGUUUUUCAUAUUUAUGAAUUGUGUUUAGAAACUCUGAAUUAGUAUCCAUAUUGCCGAUCAGGGAAUAAUAUAACGUCAACAUUCAGAACACAUGGAAAAUCCAUCAUAUAUAUAAUUUCCUCCAGUUAUACUAUUUUUAAGAGCAUUUAAUGUGAAAAGCAUAUUUAGUUUCAUAUUAAAGUUAAGGUUAAAAUUAAUACAUUUAUUAUGCUUAAAGAUUUAAAAAAGAAAAAAAGGGGGGUUAAGCAAGUGUUUACAUUAUUGUGCUCAGGUAAAUUUCACAACAGGUUUACUUUAUACUAUAUAUAUGCGAUUCGUUUAGUUUUACAUUAAGGCUUGGUAAACCACAUACUUUUUGAGAUUAUAAAUUAUAAAUUUCAACUGGACAACAAAGUAUUGAAUUUGAACGAUCAUGUGAUGAAAAUUGAUACUUAUUUUUACAAAAUCAUUAUAUAUAUUAAAAAAAAAAAGUAUUAUUUCACGCUAUGUCUAUGAGAGGAAACACUAUAGAACAUGUUUAUUGUAAUUUUCACUAAUUAAUCUUUUUAAAAAGUCAUUCUAUUUUAUAUUAUUUUUUAAACGAGUCAGUCUGACACUUAUGAUAUCUGAUCUUCAGGUGAUCUCUGACGCCUGUUUACAUUAAUGUGUAUGUAACCUGGCGCUGAAUGUUAGCAGUCCAUUAUCAUGAACAUGCAUUUUUUAUUUUACAGUUUCUUGUCAAACAAAUCAAUGGCUGAAAUGCAUCAAGUGGAGCAAAAUCAAAAUAUCAGUUUUGGGAAUUCCAGUCUUUAAAAUCAUCAAAGGUAGGUUUUUUGUCUGUAUAACUUAUAUAAUACAUUUGUGUUCAAAGAUUAAUCUGUUAUGUAUUCUAAUUUUGUUAACCUUACAUACAUGUACAAAAAAAAUGUACCAUAUAUUAUAUUACAUGUAUGUUUGUCUUUAUAUCUGAACUAUUCUAGUAAAGCUAUUUUUUCAUGUUAAUGGGCAGUCAUCAAUAAAAAAACAGUCAUCGGUAAAGUGUUUUCAUUGUUAUAGUUAAACCGAAGAGGUUUAUAAAAACUCAAGUUGGAGCUUCUUCAUUAACAAAAAACUAACAAGUAAACAUUAAUAUAUAUAUUUUUUAUUAAUGAAACCUUAUUACAAUAUGUGCAUUGUCGUUAUGGUUUUAUUUAUUUUCAAUGCUUCUAGGAACAAAUUGAAAGAGGCUCAAAUUUAAGAUAUCUUUUCACGACAUACAAUUUAUAUUUAUUAUAAUCUGAUUUUUUCCAGAGGUUAAAUAUACUGCAAAAGUAUAAAGAUGUCAUUUGGGAAAUACACAUCUGAUAAAGACCCCUCCUGCUUAAAGUCUACCGCAGAAAGAUCUCGAAGUGGUGGAAAAUGAUGACAUGCAAUAAGGACAAAAAGAGAC
rnacentral:lncRNA from 1 species